rnacentral:lncRNA from 1 species
ACGGGACACCUGCAUCUGCCAACAAGACUGGAAGCAGGUGAGGCACACAGAGGGGGAGGCCCGCAGCUGCGUGGGAGGAGGGGUGGUCUGAGGGACGUGGGAUGCCGGGAAUGAGGCUGGUUUGCAGGUUGGCGCAUGGACAUUUUCCCAGAAAGGGACAGAGACGGCGAAGUUUGACGGUCUGGAAAGCAGAGACCAGCAGGGCUGACUGCUUGGGAGCACCAAAUAUCCGGACAGCGCCUCUCGGGAGGUCCGAGAAGAGAACCGCGAUCUGUUUCAGCACCGGGGCUCAGGACAGUUCCCAGCGGGCUCCGUUUCGUCUCCAGAACCCUGGACAGCUCCUCCAGCCUCCCAAAGUGCUAGGAUUACAGGCGUGAGUCACUGCGCCUGGCCCAAGUCCGGAAUUUUCAACAGGACAUGGGUGUUACUGUGCCCAUGUGACAUUUGGGGAACCCAAGGCCCUGAGAAAGGCAGAAAAAUAACCCACGCAGGGACUCUCAGCCCACAAGUGAAGCUCUUGGAAUGCACUCCCUCCACCUCCAACCAGAGCUCCCCACAACUGACCCUGCCUUCUUCUGCAAGCUCCAUUUCAUCAAGGGAAACGAUCCUUAUUGCCUCACCAUUUCCCACGUGAAGUCUGUAUUGACAUUCUCAUAGACCUGGGAUAUUGUGUCUGCAGCACAUAGUCCAAUUAUUUUCAUGUUAUCUACUGACAGGUCUAUUUGUCUCCCUGUUACACUGUGAGCUCCGUGAGGGCAGAAACAAUGUUAGUAUUUUCACUGCUGUGUCCCCAGCGCCUGGUCCGGGGCCCGGCACACAGCAGGCAUAUAAUAAGCAUGUGUUGAAUCAAUAAAGGCAUCAAAGAAUAAACCAAUACAUCAAUCAAUAAA